rnacentral:lncRNA from 1 species
UGGGAGGGCUGACCGACUAUACGUCGGUAUUCGGCUGCCGGAGACACCGUCGGCUGGUCUGGUGCAUUAUGGGAGUCGGACGUCGGCUACCAUCCAUCCCGACAGUGAGUCGAUAUUUCGGACUCGACCGUUUGGCCGGUCAGAAAUAGUAUGAAUUUGUUUGACCGACAUAUCUUCGGUCGGAUAUUGUCGGCAGUCAUUGUCAGCAGUCGUCGAUCGGAGUCGUCGGUAGGUAGAGUCAGAUGUCGGUCGAACAUGUUCAAAGGUAAGUCAGCGUGCAAGAAUCGAUCGAUAUAUCCCAACAACAACCAACCCAUAUAGUUUGGAUAUAGAUUUAUAGUGAUAGUUACGAUUGCAUAUUUGAUUAAUAAUUGUAUUCUCGUUAACUUGCACAUCAUUUUUUCACGAAUUGGUUGCACGUUUUAAAUAUCCUCUUCACUGGUUUCCACUCACACUUCUUUAGGAAGCCAUCAAUGUGCAACUGGAUGUUCAAGGGGGUACGAUCACCUUAACACAAAUACCUCCUCCAACUUAGAGUGCAACAAGGAUGGCAAUUCAUACCGUAAUUAAGAACCCUAUAUCUAUAUCUUUCUCAUGCCCAUCUCAUAUCUUUCUCAUACCCAUCUUAGGUUGAAUCGGACGUGGAUCGGAUUGGAUAGAUAAGAUGAUAAAAUUGGAUACAUAUAAAUAAUAUAAAAUUAUUAUAAUUUUGAAAGAUAGAUAUAUAUUAAAGUUAUUUCAGAUCGGAUACGAGGAGGAGCAUACUAUUAUUCACGUCCGAUCCAAAUUCAUUUUAGAUAUUUUUUUUUUCUAAAACCUAUACCUCCCUCGAAUUCUAAUUGAGUGAGAUCGGGUCGAAUAUUCGAUGGGUCGAUUAAAAUUAUCAUCCUAAAGUGCAAAAUUCUUCAAGCUACUAAAUUAUUUUUGCAUUCUUAUGAUAUUCUUUUCAUCAUCUUCUUAUGCUAAUCGUAACUCGUGGGCUCAUUACCUUGAGAAUAGUCAACAUAUUCUAAUGAGUUGUGUUUUUGCUGCAAUGUUGGACUCAUUGUCUCACUGACUUUAAGUUAACUUUCUUGCUAGCAUUACUUGACUUUUGGUAGGAAAAGAGGUGCAAGUGGUGACGGCAUGUAUGGCUUGCCUUUUAUGGAACACUCGGAAUAAGCAUUUAUUUCAGUCUGAAUAUAGCACACCAAUAUCUUUGAUGAGACUUUGUUUAUAUUUCUAUUACCCUUUUCCUCGUCUCUUCCAUAUCUCUGUCUUUACCUGGCACUUUGUUAAAGUACUAGGAUACUUCUAGGCUGAUUGUUCUACAACAUUCUUCUUCCUCUUUUGUUCGUUGUGUGCCUCGAAUAGAGGUGGCAAUAGGUUAGAUUUGGAUUAGAUUGACUAAUAUCUAUAUCCAUUCCGCUACAAAAAAUUAAUAUCUAUAUCCGUUCCAUAUCCAUUUCAAGUCGGAUAAAAUAGAAAUUCUUGUUUAGGUUGGGUCAGAUAUACUCGUUUGGCCUUGGAUCAAACUGGACUAGAUCAGAUAGGAUUGAGCUCAUCAAAAUCCUUCAAACCUUAAAAGAAAAAUCAUUCUUCUACCAAGAUUAAGUUCUCAAAACCUCAAGGUAGCAUUUGGUAUGAG